rnacentral:lncRNA from 1 species
CGUAAAUCCAAGCUGGUACUGUGAGAUUACCUAGGUCCUGCAGGCUUGUCACCUCACUCUCUGAUUUUGGUCAAAAUCAGUAUUAAAUUAGAAAUCAUGUAAUUGUGAAACCCAGGCACUGACUGUUUUACUAGUCAGCAUUACUGAUUGGACUUUGAACCAGAGAAUGGGGACAUGUGACUCUCCGGGCAGCCUGGAUAGGGGAUCUGACUCAGAGAAGCCAAAAAUCCUGCUGCUUACGUCACUCUCCCUGCUCAGACUCAGAGUCCAGGAGGGCCGGUGCUUACCCAUCUGAAGCAGUUGGGGGAGAGGCUAAGAGCUCCUUGAAUUCUCUCAGUGACUCCUGCCAUCAAGAGGAAAUGCAGUAAGGAGGAAAUAGAAAUUCAACAUCCCAGAACACUGUCUAAUAGAAGUAUAAUGUGGACUUCUUAGAUAGAGAACCAUCUUGUCAAUUCUGGUACACUGAAUAACGGCCCUCAAAGACAUCCAGUUCCUAAUCCUGGUAACCAGUGAAUGUUGCCUUAUAUGGAAAAAAGGUCCUUGCAGAUGUAAUUAAAUUAAGGAUUUUGAGCUGGAGAAAAUAUCCUGGAUUAUCUAGGAAGAUGUCAUAACUCUGAGGUUUCUGGCAUUUUAUACAUCCUCAUCUUCUCUGAAAUAUUUACAGGAGGAAAUUCUGACAUGUGAGAGUGGAGAUAAGGACUCACAGAUUUUUUUUUUUUUAAAGAUUUUAUUUUUUUUCCUUUUUCUCCCAAAGCCCCCCAGUACAUAGUUGUAUAUUCUUUGUUGUGGGUCCUUCUAGUUGUGGCAUGUGGGACGCUGCCUCAGUGUGGUUUGAUGAGUGAUGCCAUGUCUGCGCCCAGGAUUCGAACCAACGAAACACUGGGCCGCCUGCAGCGGAGCACGCGAACUUAACCACUUGGCCACGGGGCCAGCCCAGCAGAUUUUUGUUUUUUUUAAAGAUUGGCACCUGAGCUAACAACUGUGGCCAAUCCUUUAUUUUUUUCCUUCUCCCCAAAGCUCCCACAGUACAUAGUUGGAUAUUCCAGUUGUGAGUCCCUCUGUUUGUGCUAUGCGGGAUGCCAUCUCAGCAUGGCCUGAUGAGCAUCGCCAUGUCCACGCUCAGGAUCUGAACCAGCAAAACCCUGGGCCGCUGAAGUGGAGAGAGAGAACUUAACCAGCAGGCCACAGGGCUGGCCCCUCACAAAUUUUUAAUAUGGCUGAAUGAGGCAUUUUGGGCAGGUAACUUUUCUAGUAGGUGGAUCUAGCAGGAAACUUAAAAAAUACAAAUGCCUUGGUCUUCCUCAGAAUGUCCAGAAGAGAGACAAAGAGUUUGUAUUUCUGAAAAAUUCUGCACGUGAUUCAGGUAUGAGGCCCUUCAGGGCUGAGAUCUUUAAUACCCUAUGCAGUGCUAAGAAUAUUGUCAAGGACAUUUUAAGUGCAAGAAACUCAAAUAUUGAAUUGAAUAAAACAAAAACAUCUUAACAAAGAAACUGAUUUUAUCAGUUUCAACUAAUCAAACUAUCACUUACCUAUCUUGGUUUCUUUAUAGUUAGAAAAUUUAGGGAGCCUAAAGUGACCACUUUCUUUGUGCAGUUGGUUCUCACGAUAUGAUUGCCAUUUUGGUGGUUUGAAUAAUAGUCUUUUUUAAAAGAAUGUAUUUCAAGAUCUGCUGUACUCAUCUGCAAACAGCAAAACCAAACUUUUUAGCUGCAGUAGUGUGAUCUGGUGUGUAUAUUUAUAUUCUUCCGUCUGUGUUUCAUUUACAUGUGUGUGGGGAGGUGAGAGGAGAAACUUUCUUUGCUGUAAUUAUCACCACGAUAAUUAGUUGGGAAGCAUACAACAGUUACCCACGGUCAGGAGUGGUCUGGAAACAGAGGAUCCAACUUCUGAUCUAUUGUCAGAAGGUCAGUAGUAGACUAAGGCCACAUCACAAUGCUUAUGUCACUCACCUCACUUCAUCUCAUCACUUGGCCAUUGUAUCAUCUCACAUCAUCACGAGAAGAAGAAGGGUGAGUACGGUACAAUCAGAUAUUGUGAGAGUGAGCACAUUCGCAUAAAUUUAUUACAGUAUAUUGUUAUAAUUAUUCUAUGUUAUUAUUAGUUAUUAUUGGUAUGUCUUACUGUGUCUAAUUUAUAAAUUAAACUUUAUCAUAGGUAUGUAUGUAUAGGAGAAAACACGGUAUAUAUCAGGCUCAGUAAGUCUGUGGUUUCAG